rnacentral:rRNA from 1 species
UUAUAUCACAUUGAAAACACAGUUCUCGUCCGAUCACCGAAGUUAAGCAACGUCGAGGCCAGUUAGUACUUGGAUGGGUGACCGCCUGGGAAUACCGGGUGUUGUAG